GAUGAACGCUGGCGGCGUGCCUAAUACAUGCAAGUCGAGCGAACAGACGAGGAGCUUGCUCCUCUGACGUUAGCGGCGGACGGGUGAGUAACACGUGGAUAACCUACCUAUAAGACUGGGAUAACUUCGGGAAACCGGAGCUAAUACCGGAUAAUAUAUUGAACCGUAUGGUUCAAUAGUGAAAGACGGUUUUGCUGUCACUUAUAGAUGGAUCCGCGCCGCAUUAGCUAGUUGGUAAGGUAACGGCUUACCAAGGCAACGAUGCGUAGCCGACCUGAGAGGGUGAUCGGCCACACUGGAACUGAGACACGGUCCAGACUCCUACGGGAGGCAGCAGUAGGGAAUCUUCCGCAAUGGGCGAAAGCCUGACGGAGCAACGCCGCGUGAGUGAUGAAGGUCUUCGGAUCGUAAAACUCUGUUAUUAGGGAAGAACAAAUGUGUAAGUAACUAUGCACGUCUUGACGGUACCUAAUCAGAAAGCCACGGCUAACUGCGUG
rnacentral:rRNA from 1 species